rnacentral:sRNA from 11 species
UGAGCACCUUCACGGUGCAGGCCGGCGACCCGUUCUACACCGCCCGUGUCGACAACAGGCCAUGCCUGGAUGGCAUUAUCGAGGUGCCCCCCGGCUUCGACCAGGCGGCCGACGGCCUCGUCGUACCUUGGGAGACGACG